GGCUUUUUGAGUAUAAUUUAAAGUCGGGCCUGCCCAAUGAUUAAUUAAAUGGCCGCGGUAUACUGACCGUGCAAAGGUAGCAUAAUCAUUAGUUUUUUAAUUGAAAGCUUGCAUGAAGGGUUUGAUGAGAAAAGUACUGUCUCUAUUUAAAUUUAUUAGAAUUUUAUAUUUGAGUUAAAAAGCUUAAAUAUUUAUUGAAGACGAGAAGACCCUAUAGAGUUUAAUAUUUUGUGUGGCAACUAAUUUGUUAAGAAUUUUAAGUAAUUGUUAUUUUAAAGUAUUUGAUUGGGGUGAUUGAAAAAUUAGUUUAACUUUUUUUGUAUUUUUACAUUAAUUAGUGAGUUAAUGAUCCUUUAUUUGAGAUUAAAAGAUAUAAUUACCUUAGGGAUAACAGCGUAAUUUUUUUUAGAGUUCUUAUCGAAAGAAAAGAUUGCGACCUCGAUGUUGGAUUAAAAUUAAUUGUUGGUGAAGAAGCUAACAAAUUAGGUCUGUUCGACCUUUAGAUUUUUACAUGAUCUGAGUUUAAACCGGUGUAAG
rnacentral:rRNA from 1 species